ACUGGAGGCAGAUGAAUUAGAACAACA
rnacentral:piRNA from 1 species